UACGUAGGGAGCAAGCGUUGUCCGGAAUCAUUGGGCGUAAAGCGCGCGUAGGCGGCCCGAUAAGUCCGUUGUGAAAGUCAAAGGCUCAACCUUUGAAUGCCGAUGGAUACUGUCGGGCUAGAGUCCGGAAGAGGCGAGUGGAAUUCCUGGUGUAGCGGUGGAAUGCGCAGAUAUCAGGAGGAACACCAGUAGGCGAAGGCGGUCUCGUGGGCCGUAUGACUGACGCUAGGAGGA
rnacentral:rRNA from 1 species